AUACUUACCUGGCAGAGACGAUGCUAUCAAUGAUCAAGGAGAUGGUUUGCUCAAAGCAAGGCUUGGACUUUUCACUCGGGCUGUACUGAUCUUCUUUAGUUCUCUAAAUGCAGGAAGCUUGACUCCAUAAUUUCUGAUAGAGAGGGACUGUGUUUGUGCUUAACCUGC